rnacentral:lncRNA from 1 species
CUCUACAGUUUUUUAUUAUUUAGUUUUUUCAUUUUAAUUCUUUUUUAGUUUAUCUUAGUUUAUACAUUUAAGUUAGCAUUAAAAUAUUAGUUAGUUAGUAAGUGGUCUGGUGGAGGGGAGUGGCUUUUAGAUUUAGUGUAGUGGGUUCGAUACUCCUAGGUGUAGUUUUUCUUUCUUUUAAUAUUUUCUUUUAUAUUUAUGCUUUAUUAUUCAUAUUUCUUUUUUUUAUUAUUGUUUAAUAAU